rnacentral:rRNA from 1 species
ACCUGCGGAAGGAUCAUUACUGAGUGAGGGCCCUCUGGGUCCAACCUCCCACCCGUGUCUAUUGUACCAUGUUGCUUCGGCAGGCCCGCCUCGCGGCCGCCGGGGGCUUCUGCCCCGGGCCUGCGCCUGCCGAAGACCCUCUGAACGCUGUCUGAAGAUUGCAGUCUGAGUGAAAACACAAAAAUUAUUUAAAACUUUCAACAACGGAUCUCUUGGUUCCGGCAUCGAUGAAGAACGCAGCGAAAUGCGAUAACUAAUGUGAAUUGCAGAAUUCAGUGAAUCAUCGAGUCUUUGAACGCACAUUGCGCCCUCUGGUAUUCCGGAGGGCAUGCCUGUCCGAGCGUCAUUGCUGCCCUCAAGCCCGGCUUGUGUGUUGGGCCUCGUCCCCCUCUCCGGGGGGACGGGCCCGAAAGGCAGCGGCGGCACCGUGUCCGGUCCUCGAGCGUAUGGGGCUUUGUCACCCGCUCUGUAGGCCCGGCCGGCGCCUGUCGACCCCCAAUCUAAAUUUUUUCAGGUUGACCUCGGAUCAGGUAGGGAUACCCGCUGAACUUAAGCAUAUCAAUAAGCGGAGGAAAAGAAACCAACAGGGAUUGCCCCAGUAACGGCGAGUGAAGCGGCAAGAGCUCAAAUUUGAAAGCUGGCUCCUUCGGGGUCCGCAUUGUAAUUUGCAGAGGAUGCUUCGGGAGCGGUCCCCAUCUAAGUGCCCUGGAACGGGCUGUCAUAGAGGGUGAGAAUCCCGUAUGGGAUGGGGUGUCCGCGCCCGUGUGAAGCUCCUUCGACGAGUCGAGUUGUUUGGGAAUGCAGCUCUAAAUGGGUGGUAAAUUUCAUCUAAAGCUAAAUAUUGGCCGGAGACCGAUAGCGCACAAGUAGAGUGAUCGAAAGAUGAAAAGCACUUUGAAAAGAGAGUUAAAAAGCACGUGAAAUUGUUGAAAGGGAAGCGUUUGCGACCAGACUCGCCUACGGGGUUCAGCCUGCCUUCGGGCAGGUGUACUUCCCCGUGGGCGGGCCAGCGUCGGUUUGGGCGGCCGGUCAAAGGCCCUCGGAAUGUAACGCCUCUCGGGGCGUCUUAUAGCCGAGGGUGCCAUGCGGCCUGCCCGGACCGAGGAACGCGCUUCGGCUCGGACG